GGCGAACGGGUGAGUAACACGUGAGAAAUCUGCCCCUGACUCUGGGAUAACUGCGGGAAACUGUAGCUAAUACCGGAUACUUUCCCUGGUGGGCAUCCACUGGGGAAGAAAGAAUUUCGGUCAGGGAGGAUCUCGCGGCCUAUCAGCUAGUUGGUGAGGUAACGGCUCACCAAGGCGACGACGGGUAACCGGCCUGAGAGGGUGACCGGUCACACUGGGACUGAGACACGGCCCAGACUCCUACGGGAGGCAGCAGUGGGGAAUAUUGCACAAUGGGCGCAAGCCUGAUGCAGCAACGCCGCGUGGGGGACGACGGCCUUCGGGUUGUAAACCUCUUUUAGCAGGGAAGAAGCGCAAGUGACGGUACCUGCAGAAAAAGCACCGGCUAACUACGUGCCAGCAGCCGCGGUAAUACGUAGGGUGCAAGCGUUGUCCGGAAUUAUUGGGCGUAAAGAGCUCGUAGGCGGUUUGUCACGUCUGCUGUGAAAAUCCAAGGCUCAACCUUGGACUUGCAGUGGGUACGGGCAGGCUAGAGUGCGGUAGGGGAGAUGGGAAUUCCUGGUGUAGCGGUGGAAUGCGCAGAUAUCAGGAGGAACACCAAUGGCGAAGGCACAUCUCUGGGCCGUAACUGACGCUGAGGAGCGAAAGCGUGGGGAGCAAACAGGAUUAGAUAUCCUGGUAGUCCACGCCGU
rnacentral:rRNA from 1 species